rnacentral:rRNA from 1 species
UACGGGGGGGGCAAGCGUUGUUCGGAAUUACUGGGCGUAAAGGGCUCGUAGGCGGCCAACUAAGUCAGACGUGAAAUCCCCAGGCUUAACCUGGGAACUGCGUCUGAUACUGGAUGGCUUGAAUCCGGGAGAGGGAUGCAGAAUUCCAGGUGUAGCGGUGAAAUGCGCAGAUAUCAGGAGGAACACCGGUGGCGAAGGCGGGAUCCUGGGCCAGUACUGACGCUGAGGAGCGAAAGCGUGGGGAGCAAACAGG